rfam:Melampsora larici-populina 98AG31 unplaced genomic scaffold MELLAscaffold_64, whole genome shotgun sequence.
GACGGGAUGGCCGAGUGGUUAAGGCGGCAGUUUAGAACCGUGCCUUGUCCGGACCUGAUUUAGCUGCUUCACUUUGUGAGCGUGAGUUCAAAUCUCACUUCCGUCG